GUCGUAACAAGGUUUCCGUAGGUGAACCUGCGGAAGGAUCAUUACCACACCGAUCCAAGAUCUUCCAUUUUGUGAAUAGACCUGCUGCACUGUCAAACUAAGUGGCAGUGUGCACGGUCGUAAUCCAUUUCUUUUGAUUGUCUAGGAGUUUCACUUCGAAACGACUAGAUAAUUUCACUACGAACCAGUAUUGAAAUUAUGAUCUGAAGCAUAAAGGGAAGGCGAGAGCAGAAGCGCUCCAGGGUGCAUCUGCGACUCUGCCCGAACUACAAAAACAAUCUAGUACAACUUUCAGCGGUGGAUGUCUAGGUUCCCACAACGAUGAAGAACGCAGCGAAAUGCGAUACGUAAUGCGAAUUGCAAGACCUCGUGAAUCAUUAAGAUUUUGAACGCACAUUGCGCUUUCGGGUUUACCCGGUAGCAUGCUUGUCUGAGUGUCUGUGAACCCCACUCAGCACCGGUUGAUGUGAAUCGACUUGGUAGCUGGAUUGUGGCAGUGGUUGGAAGCUGGCCUUUGGUUGGUUUCGGAUCUCUGCUGGAAUGGAGUUUCGGACGCGUUGUUUGAAAUUGUCUGGGUGCAGGUUAGUCCUGAACCAUGCAAUACGAUGUGAGCACACGUCUAUCUCCGGUGGCAGCCUAGUGUUGUCGAAGGAGUUGAAGCAUGUGCGAGCAGAGUUUGGAUCAUGCGACUAUUCUGAUUAUCUAGCGAUUUCAAAGCGCACAUCGAGUUAUCUCGAUGAUUGCAACUUACGGAUCUCAGCUUAAGCAAGAGGACCCGCCGAAUUUAAGCAUAUAAUUAAGCGGAGGAAAAGAAACUAACCAGGAUUCCCCUAGUAAGGGCGACUGAAGCGGGAUCUGCUCAGGAUGUGAAUCUGCGCCUUAGAAGCGCCGAAUUGUGGUCUGUAGACAGUGGCAUUACCAGCCGGGCCAAGUCCCUUGGAACAGGGCAGCUGAGAGGGUGAGACUCCCGUUCGCCUGGCAGGAUGAGCUACUAGUCAACGAGUCGAGUUGUUUGGGAUUGCAGCUCAAAGCGGGUGGUAAAUUCCAUCUAAAGCUAAAUAUUGGUGGGAGACCGAUAGCGUACAAGUACCGUGAGGGAAAGAUGCAAAGAACUUUGAAAAGAGAGUUAAAGAGUACCUGAAAUUGCUGAAAGGGAAGCGAAGGAAACCAGUGUUGGCUUGGUCAUAUUUCCCUGUCCGCUUGCGGUUUGGGCGCUGUGUCCGGCUUGUGUUGUUCUUGGUUGGUACUUUUGGAAGAGCGCAGUGAGAGUUGAUCUCUGUUGCUAGCAUUGGUACUGACUGAGGAGGACGAAAUGGUUUUCUUUACCCCGUCUUGAAACACGGACCAAGGAGUCUAACAUAUGUGCGAGUACAGGGGUGGCAAACCCCCGUGCGCAAUGAAAGUGACAGUGGUUGGACUUUUGCACAAUCCGCCGGCCUCAAUCCUUCGGGAGAACGGUCUGAGUGUGAGCAUACAUGUUGGGACCCGAAAGAUGGUGAACUAUGCGUGA
rnacentral:rRNA from 1 species